rnacentral:tRNA from 1 species
GGGGUUGUGGCUCGGAGGUAGAUCGUUUGCCUAGCAUGCAUGAGGCAUUGGGUUCAAUCCUCAGCACCACA